GAUGAACGCUGGCGGCGUGCCUAAUACAUGCAAGUCGAGCGAACAGACGAGGAGCUUGCUCCUCUGACGUUAGCGGCGGACGGGUGAGUAACACGUGGAUAACCUACCUAGAAGACUGGGAUAACUUCGUGAAACCGGAGCUAAUACCGGAUAAUAUAUUGAACCGCAUGGUUCAAUAGUGAAAGACGGUUUUGCUGUCACUUAUAGAUGGAUCCGCGCCGCAUUAGCUAGUUGGUAAGGUAACGGCUUACCAAGGCAACGAUGCGUAGCCGACCUGAGAGGGUGAUCGGCCACACUGGAACUGAGACACGGUCCAGACUCCUACGGGAGGCAGCAGUAGGGAAUCUUCCGCAAUGGGCGAAAGCCUGACGGAGCAACGCCGCGUGAGUGAUGAAGGUCUUCGGAUCGUAAAACUCUGUUAUUAGGGAAGAACAAAUGUGUAAGUAACUAUGCACGUAUUGACGGUACCUAAUCAGAAAGCCACGGCUAACUACGUG
rnacentral:rRNA from 1 species